rnacentral:rRNA from 1 species
GAUCCUGGCUCAGAUUGAACGCUGGCGGCAGGCUUAACACAUGCAAGUCGAACGGUAGCAGGAGAAAGCUUGCUUUCUUGCUGACGAGUGGCGGACGGGUGAGUAAUGCUUGGGAAUCUGGCUUAUGGAGGGGGAUAACUACGGGAAACUGUAGCUAAUACCGCGUAAUAUCGAAAGAUUAAAGUGUGGGACCUUCGGGCCACAUGCCAUAAGAUGAGCCCAAGUGGGAUUAGGUAGUUGGUGGGUAAGG